UCUCUUCUGUGAAGCAUCUGUAUGCAAAGCAGCACAACGGAAAACGUCUCUCCUACCCCCCCCCCCCCCCCCCCACUGUACUCUCACUAACAGUUCACUUGCUUUUAUUUGGAGACAAAAGAGUUGUGGAAGAUGUGAAACUUCAAAAACAGAAAGAAACAAAAACCCUAAAGAGACGAGAGGUGACAUCACACACAACCAGCGCUUCCUUUACCUUCUGACGUUGCUCCUGGAGUUUCUGUGGGACAUGUAGCGGCGGACACUCACUCUCGAAGGCCUGCAGGAAGAGCUCGUGGUCCGCCUGGAUGAGCUGCAUGUUGGGCUUCUUGGCUGCGGCCACCGCGGAGGAGGAGGAGGAGGAGGAGGAGGACGACUGGCAGAACCCGUUGGCUCUUCCUGCGGGACCACCAGCACAGCCCGCCGGGUGGUGGCUUCCACCGGAGGAGCCCUGCUUGUGUGGAGCCAUAAUCACAAUGAACCCCCAAAAAAAAUUGGCCUCAGAAACUUUAUCACCAGCUGACGUUUAAUUAAAAAAAAAAGAAAAAAGACGAAAGUAA